rnacentral:rRNA from 1 species
GAUGAACGCUGGCGGCGUGCCUAAUACAUGCAAGUCGAGCGAACGGACGAGAAGCUUGCUUCUCUGAUGUUAGCGGCGGACGGGUGAGUAACACGUGGAUAACCUACCUAUAAGACUGGGAUAACUUCGGGAAACCGUAGCUAAUACCGGAUAAUAUUUUGAACCGCAUGGUUCAAAAGUGAAAGACGGUCUUGCUGUCACUUAUAGAUGGAUCCGCGCUGCAUUAGCUAGUUGGUAAGGUAACGGCUUACCAAGGCAACGAUGCAUAGCCGACCUGAGAGGGUGAUCGGCCACACUGGAACUGAGACACGGUCCAGACUCCUACGGGAGGCAGCAGUAGGGAAUCUUCCGCAAUGGGCGAAAGCCUGACGGAGCAACGCCGCGUGAGUGAUGAAGGUCUUCGGAUCGUAAAACUCUGUUAUUAGGGAAGAACAUAUGUGUAAGUAACUGUGCACAUCUUGACGGUACCUAAUCAGAAAGCCACGGCUAACUACGUGCCAGCAGCCGCGGUAAUACGUAGGUGGCAAGCGUUAUCCGGAAUUAUUGGGCGUAAAGCGCGCGUAGGCGGUUUUUUAGUCUGAUGUGAAAGCCCACGGCUCAACCGUGGAGGGUCAUUGGAAACUGGAAAACUUGAGUGCAGAAGAGGAAAGUGGAAUUCCAUGUGUAGCGGUGAAAUGCGCAGAGAUAUGGAGGAACACCAGUGGCGAAGGCGACUUUCUGGUCUGUAACUGACGCUGAUGUGCGAAAGCGUGGGGAUCAAACAGGAUUAGAUACCCUGGUAGUCCACGCCGUAAACGAUGAGUGCUAAGUGUUAGGGGGUUUCCGCCCCUUAGUGCUGCAGCUAACGCAUUAAGCACUCCGCCUGGGGAGUACGACCGCAAGGUUGAAACUCAAAGGAAUUGACGGGGACCCGCACAAGCGGUGGAGCAUGUGGUUUAAUUCGAAGCAACGCGAAGAACCUUACCAAAUCUUGACAUCCUUUGACAACUCUAGAGAUAGAGCCUUCCCCUUCGGGGGACAAAGUGACAGGUGGUGCAUGGUUGUCGUCAGCUCGUGUCGUGAGAUGUUGGGUUAAGUCCCGCAACGAGCGCAACCCUUAAGCUUAGUUGCCAUCAUUAGGUUGGGCACUCUAAGUUGACUGCCGGUGACAAACCGGAGGAAGGUGGGGAUGACGUCAAAUCAUCAUGCCCCUUAUGAUUUGGGCUACACACGUGCUACAAUGGACAAUACAAAGGGCAGCGAAACCGCGAGGUCAAGCAAAUCCCAUAAAGUUGUUCUCAGUUCGGAUUGUAGUCUGCAACUCGACUACAUGAAGCUGGAAUCGCUAGUAAUCGUAGAUCAGCAUGCUACGGUGAAUACGUUCCCGGGUCU